CUACGGGAGGCUGCAGUCGAGAAUCUUCGGCAAUGGACGAAAGUCUGACCGAGCGACGCCGCGUGCGGGAUGAAGGCCUUCGGGUUGUAAACCGCUGUCAGUUGGGAGGAAAUCACGUGGGGUUCUCCCCAUGUGUUGACCAAUCUUCAGAGGAAGUACGGGCUAAGUUCGUGCCAGCAGCCGCGGUAACACGAACCGUACAAACGUUAUUUGGAAUCACUGGGCUUAAAGGGUGCGUAGGCGGCCUGGUAAGUCAGGUGUAAAAUCCCUCGGCUCAACCGAGGAAUUGCGCUUGAAACUAUCAGGCUAGAGGGAGACAGAGGUGAGCGGAACUCAGGGUGGAGCGGUGAAAUGCGUUGAUAUCCUGAGGAACACCGGUGGCGGAGGCGGCUCACUGGGUCUCUUCUGACGCUGAGGCACGAAAGCUGGGGGAGCGAACGGGAUUAGAUACCCUCGUAGUC
rnacentral:rRNA from 1 species